rnacentral:rRNA from 1 species
AUUGAACGCUGGCGGCAUGCCUUACACAUGCAAGUCGAACGGUAACGCGGGGCAACCUGGCGACGAGUGGCGAACGGGUGAGUAAUGUAUCGGAACGUGCCCAGUUGUGGGGGAUAACUGCUCGAAAGAGCAGCUAAUACCGCACACGACCUGAGGGUGAAAGCGGGGGAUCGCAAGACCUCGCGCAAUUGGAGCGGCCGAUAUCAGAUUAGGUAGUUGGUGGGGUAAAGGCCCACCAAGCCAACGAUCUGUAGCUGGUCUGAGAGGACGACCAGCCACACUGGGACUGAGACACGGCCCAGACUCCUACGGGAGGGAGCAGUGGGGAAUUUUGGACAAUGGACGCAAGUCUGAUCCAGCCAUGCCGCGUGCGGGAAGAAGGCCUUCGGGUUGUAAACCGCUUUUGUCAGGGAAGAAAAGGUUCUCUCUAAUACAGGGGGCUAAUGACGGUACCUGAAGAAUAAGCACCGGCUAACUACGUGCCAGCCGCCGCAGUAAUAC